rnacentral:rRNA from 1 species
GAUGAACGCUGGCGGCGUGCUUAACACAUGCAAGUCGAACGGAAAGGCUCCUGCUUGCCGGGGUACUCGAGUGGCGAACGGGUGAGUAACACGUGGGUGAUCUGCCCUGCACUUCGGGAUAAGCCUGGGAAACUGGGUCUAAUACCGGAUAGGACCACAUUUUGGAUGGUGUGGUGGAAAGUUUUUCGGUGUGGGAUGAGCUCGCGGCCUAUCAGCUUGUUGGUGGGGUAAUGGCCUACCAAGGCGUCGACGGGUAGCCGGCCUGAGAGGGUGUACGGCCAAAUUGGGACUGAGGUAGGGCCGAGAGGCGAAGGGGGGACAGGGGGGGGAAAUAGUACACAGUGGGCGCGAGCGUGAGGAGGAGACGCCGGGUGGGGGAUGACGGCUUUGGGGGUGUAAACGGCUUGCGGUGGGGACGACGCGAGAGUGACGUUACCAGGAAAAGAAGCACCGGCUAACUACGUG